ACCAAGGCGACGAUCGGUAGCCGGACUGAGAGGUUGAACGGCCACAUUGGGACUGAGACACGGCUCAGACUCCUACGGGAGGCAGCAGUGGGGAAUAUUGCACAAUGGGAGAAACCCUGAUGCAGCGACGCCGCGUGGAGGAAGAAGGUCUUCGGAUUGUAAACUCCUGUUGUUGAGGAAGAUAAUGACGGUACUCAACAAGGAAGUGACGGCUAACUACGUGCCAGCAGCCGCGGUAAAACGUAGGUCACAAGCGUUGUCCGGAAUUACUGGGUGUAAAGGGAGCGCAGGCGGGAAGGCAAGUUGGAAGUGAAAUCCAUGGGCUCAACCCAUGAACUGCUUUCAAAACUGUUUUUCUUGAGUAGUGCAGAGGUAGGCGGAAUUCCCGGUGUAGCGGUGGAAUGCGUAGAUAUCGGGAGGAACACCGGUGGCGAAGGCGGCCUACUGGGCACCAACUGACGCUGAGGCUCGAAAGUGUGGGUAGCAAACAGGAUUAGAUACCCUGGUAGUCCACACUGUAAACGAUGAUUACUAGGUGUUGGAGGAUUGACCCCUUCAGUGCCGCAGUUAACACAAUAAGUAAUCCACCUGGGGAGUACGACCGCAAGGUUGAAACUCAAAGGAAUUGACGGGGGCCCGCACAAGCAGUGGAGUAUGUGGUUUAAUUCGACGCAACGCGAAGAACCUUACCAAGUCUUGACAUCCUGCGACGGUGCUGGAAACAGUACUUUCCUUCGGGACGCAGAGACAGGUGGUGCAUGGUUGUCGUCAGCUCGUGUCGUGAGAUGUUGGGUUAAGUCCCGCAACGAGCGCAACCCUUAUGGUCAGUUACUACGCAAGAGGACUCUGGCCAGACUGCCGUUGACAAAACGGAGGAAGGUGGGGAUGACGUCAAAUCAUCAUGCCCUUUAUGACUUGGGCUACACACGUACUACAAUGGCGUUAAACAAAGAGAAGCAAGACCGCGAGGUGGAGCAAAACUCAGAAACAACGUCCCAGUUCGGACUGCAGGCUGCAACUCGCCUGCACGAAGUCGGAAUUGCUAGUAAUCGCAGAUCAGCAUGCUGCGGUGAAUACGUUCCCGGGCCUUGUACACACCGCCCGUCACACCAUGAGAGCCGGGGGGACCCGAAGUCGGUAGUCUAACCGCAAGGAGGACGCCGCCGAAGGUAAAACUGGUGAUUGGGGUGAAGUAGUAACAAGGUA
rnacentral:rRNA from 1 species